rnacentral:rRNA from 1 species
GGGUGAGUAAUGUAUCGGAACGUGCCCAGUCGUGGGGGAUAACUGCUCGAAAGAGCAGCUAAUACCGCAUACGACCUGAGGGUGAAAGCGGGGGAUCGCAAGACCUCGCGCGAUUGGAGCGGCCGACAUCAGAUUAGGUAGUUGGUGAGGUAAAGGCUCACCAAGCCGACGAUCUGUAGCUGGUCUGAGAGGACGACCAGCCACACUGGGACUGAGACACGGCCCAGACUCCUACGGGAGGCAGCAGUGGGGAAUUUUGGACAAUGGGCGCAAGCCUGAUCCAGCCAUGCCGCGUGCGGGAAGAAGGCCUUCGGGUUGUAAACCGCUUUUGUCAGGGAAGAAAAGGUUCUGGCUAAUACCUGGGACUCAUGACGGUACCUGAAGAAUAAGCACCGGCUAACUACGUGCCAGCAGCCGCGGUAAUACGUAGGGUGCAAGCGUUAAUCGGAAUUACUGGGCGUAAAGCGUGCGCAGGCGGUUAUGCAAGACAGAGGUGAAAUCCCCGGGCUCAACCUGGGAACUGCCUUUGUGACUGCAUGGCUAGAGUACGGUAGAGGGGGAUGGAAUUCCGCGUGUAGCAGUGAAAUGCGUAGAUAUGCGGAGGAACACCGAUGGCGAAGGCAAUCCCCUGGACCUGUACUGACGCUCAUGCACGA